rnacentral:rRNA from 1 species
UGGGGAAUAUUGCACAAUGGGCGCAAGCCUGAUGCAGCCAUGCCGCGUGUAUGAAGAAGGCCUUCGGGUUGUAAAGUACUUUCAGCGAGGAGGAAGGCGUUGUGGUUAAUAACCGCAGCGAUUGACGUUACUCGCAGAAGAAGCACCGGCUAACUCCGUGCCAGCAGCCGCGGUAAUACGGAGGGUGCAAGCGUUAAUCGGAAUUACUGGGUGUAAAGCGCACGCAGGCGGUCUGUCAAGUCGGAUGUGAAAUCCCCGGGCUCAACCUGGGAACUGCAUCCGAAACUGGCAGGCUAGAGUCUUGUAGAGGGGGGUAGAAUUCCAGGUGUAGCGGUGAAAUGCGUAGAGAUCUGGAGGAAUACCGGUGGCGAAGGCGGCCCCCUGGACAAAGACUGACGCUCAGGUGCGAAAGCGUGGGUAGCAAACA